GACGAACGCUGGCGGCGUGCUUAGCACAUGCAAGUCGAACGGAAAGGCCCUGCUUGCAGGGUACUCGAGUGGCGAACGGGUGAGUAACACGUGGGUGAUCUGCCCUUCACUUCGGGAUAAGCCUGGGAAACUGGGUCUAAUACCGGAUAGGAGCCAUUUUUAGUGUGAUGGUUGGAAAGUUUUUUCGGUGUAGGAUGAGCUCGCGGCCUAUCAGCUUGUUGGUGGGGUAAUGGCCUACCAAGGCGGCGACGGGUAGCCGGCCUGAGAGGGUGGACGGCCACAUUGGGACUGAGAUACGGCCCAGACUCCUACGGGAGGCAGCAGUGGGGAAUAUUGCACAAUGGGCGCAAGCCUGAUGCAGCGACGCCGCGUGGGGGAUGACGGCCUUCGGGUUGUAAACUCCUUUCGCUAGGGACGAAGCUUUUUGUGACGGUACCUAGAUAAGAAGCACCGGCUAACUACGUG
rnacentral:rRNA from 1 species